GAUGAACGCUGGCGGCGUGCCUAAUACAUGCAGGUCGAGCGAACAGACGAGGAGCUUGCUCCUCUGACGUUAGCGGCGGACGGGUGAGUAACACGUGGAUAACCUACCUAUCAGACUGGGAUAACUUCGGGAAACCGGAGCUAAUACCGGAUAAUAUAUUGAACCGCAUGGUUCAAUAGUGAAAGACGGUUUUGCUGUCACUUAUAGAUGGAUCCGCGCCGCAUUAGCUAGUUGGUAAGGUAACGGCUUACCAAGGCAACGAUGCGUAGCCGACCUGAGAGGGUGAUCGGACACACUGGAACAGAGACACGGUCCAGACUCCGACGGGAGGCAGCAGUAGGGAAUCUUACGCAAUGGGGGAAAGCCUGACGGAGCAACGCCGCGUGAGGGAUGAAGGUCUUCGGAUCGUAAAACUCUGUUAUUAGGGAAGAACAAAUGUGUAAGUAACUAUGCACGUCUUGACGGUACCUAAUCAGAAAGCCACGGCUAACUACGUG
rnacentral:rRNA from 1 species